CGCGUCGACACUGGAUACGGUGAUGUGAAAUUGUGCAAUGUAUUAUUUGAAGGUUUGAGGAUGGAGUGGUGGUGGGUAGUGCCGUAACCAGGUUGGAGAAAGGGUGGACUACUAUAUGUAUGGGGCUGUGCAAUGGACUGUGUUGAGGAGGAGGAGGAGAAGAAGCAGUAGCAGCAGCGGCGGUAGUUGUUGAAGUCCAGAAGACGUGAUUGGUGUGUGAUAAUCCAGAGGGACAUUAACGCUCGACUGAAUGUUGGAAAUGAGAGGCAGUAAAGGUGUUUGAGGAUGGAGUGGUGGUGGGUAGUGCCGUAACCAGGUUGCAGAAAGGGUGGACUACUACAUGUAUGGGGCUGUGCAAUGGACUGUGUUGAGGAGAAGAAGCAGCAGCAGCGGCGGCGGCGGCGGGAGCAGCAGCGGCAGCGGCGGCAGCAGCAGCCGGGGCGGCGGCGGUAGCAGCAGUGGCGGCAGUUGUUUAAGAUAAGUAGUGUGGUGUGGUGCAUCGUGAAUUGUUUGUGAUAGUUUAGGGUCAUAGUGAAUUUAGUUGUAAGAAAUUGAGUAUAAUGUAAUUGUUGGAAGACGUGUAUAGUGAUGUAAAUUGUAGGUUAGUUUUGGAUUAGUAUAUGUGGAGAAUGGAUGUAGCAGGUAAUAGAAAUGUUGCGACUAGUGUAGAGUGGCGUUGGAGCGGUUUAGGGCGUGAAAGGUUUAUGAAUUGUUGUGGGGGAACUAAUGUGUUGAUGUGUUUGUUUUUUAGGCCGGAUUGGAGUUUUUGGAAUGGUAAGCGGCAGUGAUGGUGGAAGAGCCAGUGGUUAUUCGGCGACGGAGAUGGGAGCGAAAGGUGGAGCGAGUGGUGUAGGGUAUGUUCCUCGUGGUAAGAGUAAGGAAGGAGACGACCAAGUAUUGUGCAUUUAUCUCGGCGGUUACGAAGAAAGGAAGAGGCACGUCGACGACGGAGCCGGGAAUAACCGCGGAGGUUGCUCCAUACCAAGAUAUAGUGUUUUUGUGGGUGAAUUAUUUGAGCAAUGGGAAAUGAUAGUUUGCCUAGACGUGUAUAUUGUAGGUAGUAUAAGAAGAGCACCACGAAGAGUUUCCCGAGUGACGAAGCCGACGGGUGGACUGCAUUUGAUAGAAAAGGCCAUUACGAGUUGACCUCCAUUGUUGUGUUUUGUCGGUUUCAGAUUGAAGCGACGGGGCGAAGUCGCUGUAAGGAGCCGAGAAGAUGAUGUCCUGUGAAAGUAUAGUCGUCGUCCCUUUGACUGGAGCCGAGAAGAAGGCGUCCUGUGAACGUAUAGCCGUCGUCCCAUUGACUGGGGUGUAUGGAGC